rnacentral:piRNA from 1 species
UGCACUCAAGCCACAACCAUGCCU